rnacentral:misc_RNA from 1 species
UUUCCGUAGGUGAACCUGCGGAAGGAUCAUUAUUGUAUCACCGAUGUGCGAGGGCUGUCGCUGACCCGGCCGGUCGUGCACGCACGAGAGACCUCAACCCCCUACAUCUCACAACUAUUUGCUCACCAGCACCCGUCGCCCUUUGGCGUGUUCGGAAGGGGGCUUACGUAUUCACACAAACUUUGUAUGCAGCGAGGAUUGUCUUUUUUGUUUUUUCCAUCCCGCACACAAUACAACUUUCGACCACUGAUCUCUGGGCUCUCGGAACGAUGAAGAAGA